UUCUAGCUUGCAGAGAGUGCCGAAGGGAACUAGAGGAGACUGGGCAUCUAGUUUUACUUCUACAAAGCCUCCUACACAAGCUCCCUGGAAACGCCAGAUCCAAUGAGCUCUCUCAUGGAGAUGCCCCAGAACCCCAAGAAGAGAAGCCCGCCUUGAGGAGAGUGUUGCCAGGCACUGGACCCCA